CAGAGGAAAUUGUAAUAUUAAGAACACGCCCACUAAUGUUUGCUAAGUUUCGUUUCUGCCGCCAUUUUCUAACCCCGCAGUGGAAGGUCGAGGUGAACCGCAGCAAUGGACGGCGGUGAGCCAGGAUGCAGGCUGUGCGUGUUAAGUACAGAAAGCUACAGAAGUACAUCUGUUUUGAGGACCAAGUGACCUACACAUCCUUUUUGGAAUGUGCUGCCAAGAACUUAAGAGUUUUUGAUGACGCAAAGACUGAGGUUGAUGAGGAAGUCUUUGAUUUCCUUAUGAAGAAACAAAACCUGGGUGUGCUCCAGAUUUGUCUUGCACAAGGUCCAAAUCCAGAUGAUUGCAUGAGUUCCCCUGCAAGCAGCUCCUUUACCAGCUCCAGUGGGGAUAUUGAAGGGGACUCUGAUGACUGCAGCACAGUCCUGCCACCAGAUGGAGAGCUGAAAACACCUCUCUUGCCCAAAAGGUGGGAGUGGGAAUCUGGCUUGGAGACUGAAGUUUGUCCAAAAGGAAGCUUCUGAUGGAGAAAAGAAGGCUGUCAAGAAUACAAAUGGUGAUCCCCUCAGCUGAAAGAGACUUGAGGGAGGACAGUCGCCUAAUGACCGACAGCUUGUGUUCCUGGGGGCCAUUGCACUGACGAGGCAUACAGCUGAUGAAGGAAUUGUUAUGACGAAGAUGAAGGCGCCUUGCUUACAGCUGGCAGACAUUUGACCCCGAAAGACUGAUCACUGGACCAGCAUCAGCAGGGCAGCUGUGUGUGUGCGUGGUGUCAGAGGGCUAGCUGAGGAGGUCAGGCUGCAGGCUGAUCCUCUGCAGGACGUCCUCGGGCAUGCACAGAACAGGAUUCACCGGCUUGAUCUGCUCAUCUCCGAGAAGGGAGAGACCUGCGAUUCCGAACAGAGUGUGGAAGGGAUCCACCUGUGGAGAUGGAGGGAGAGAUGAUGACGGUCAGAGAGAGAUACUCCACUAAUAACUGGGCUUGUAAUGACACACUGCACCACAGCGUCUCAGCACAGCUUUCACUGAAGCCAAAAGGUGACGGUGAAGGCGGAUAUCAUCACAAGCCAAAGUGUGCAUCACAGAAGACAUCAUCACCAGGUAACAUUUGCUUGAGUGGACACAGUACAUGUGCAGUAUUUUCCCCACAAAUUCUUAACAUGUGCAGACCUUCAAGAGGUUUACUGUGGAUCUACAGCAAGACUGAUCUUAUCUCACAUGGAGACAGAGACAAAGGACAGGAUCAUGGAGGUGCUGGCAGUGAGAUAAGGGUGGAAGUUUGGGGUAAGCGCAGGUCUAAUACAUUUCCCCUUUCCACUGCAGAAUGCAGAAGUUAGUCGUAGUUGACAGCUCACCAUGUCUCCUGGUCUGUCAGCAAAACCUCCAGUCUCUUCAUCUUGACAGGCCAGGAUAAACGUUCGCAGCUUGGCCUUGUCGAUCCAGUGGAUCCUACCGAUGAUUUUUAGCGACGCCAGAACCCACCAGGAGUAGCACACAUCUGGAAGCUGAAAGAGGAUAAAAAACACAGGGUUGGAGAUCGGACUGUCUGAAGAAACUUUGUUUUGUGAAACUCAAGGCCUUUUAAAAUGAACUGCCAACACUGAAGAAAUAAGAAUCAGAAGAGCGGCAGAGCUAACUCAGGAAUCACUGUGUCCUGUCUUCUAGUUAAACGUCGACAUGCAAGUACACGACAGUAUCUGGAAAGCACAAACCUUCUCC